rnacentral:rRNA from 1 species
GACGAACGCUGGCGGCGUGCCUAAUACAUGCAAGUCGAACGCAGUGGGGACGGGUGAGUAACUCGUGGCUAACCUCCCAUCAGAGGGGAUAACACUUGGAAACAGGUGCUAAACCGAUACUGAUGGAUGGACCCGCGGUGCAUUAGCUAGUUGGUGGGGUAACGGCUAACCAAGGCCACGAUGCAUAGCGGACCUGAUGGGGUGAUCGGCCACACUGAGACGGAGACACGGCCCAGACUCCUACGGGAGGAAGCAGGAGGGAGUCUUCGGCAAUGGGCGAAAGUCUGACCGAGCAACGCCGCGUGAGUGAAGAAGGUUUUCGGAUCGUAAAACUCUGUUGUUAGAGCAGCGGUAUCUAACCAGUAAGCCACGGCUAACUACGAGCAAGCAGCCGCGGUAAUUC